GUCGGUGGCAUUAGCGGUGGGGAAACGCCCGGUCCCGUUCCGAACCCGGAAGCUAAGCCCACCAGCGCCGAUG
rnacentral:rRNA from 1 species